rnacentral:tRNA from 1 species
UCUAUAGCUCAGUUGGUAGAGCAACGGACUCUUAAUCCGUGGGUCGUGGGUUCAAGUCCCUCUGG